UACUAUUACCUUUAUUGCUUAUGGCUGUGCUUUCUUCAAUCAGAUUGGCUUUUUGAUCUGUUCUUGAUGUUCAACAAGCAUCAGUACAGCUAGUCAUAUUUUAGAUUGGUAUACUAGAUUAAGUGAUUCAUGUGUUGCUGACCGGUUCUGACCAUAUCUUGAUUUGAAAGUACUGGUAGGUUGUGAGCUGGGAGGGAACCCUCUUGAGUCAUAUUCAGAUUUGCGAUGGAGCACGGGCAGGCAUACAAUGUGACGGAUAAUCGCCUUCUCAAAGAGUUGGUUCUUUUCUCUUCUUUGCGUGGCAGCUUCUCUAGCAAUAGGCGAGGAACUUCUGGAAGUGAAUUCAUAGGAUUUGGAGGCUGAUGAAAGUUUUGGGAUAAGGAUGCUAUAAAAAAAGGUAAUUUUUGGUCUUGCAUGGAUUCUGUCAUCCUUCAUUAUUCUCUAUUUUCCAUCUUUUCUUCAAGUAAUAGUGUGAAAAAAGACGAAGUGGCUUGCUUAGAGGCCAACUAGUGCUGGCGAUAACUUUAAGUUCCAUUUUUGCGCUUCAUUUAUGUAGGAGUUGCAGAAGCCGAGGUAGAAAUUUCUCUAGAGUUGGUAUUAACUAGGGUAAUCUCUUUGGACUUUCCCAUGAUGAUGUCCUUAGUCUUGGUAACAGUUAUCCAAUCAAUCAAUUAUUUAUUCUGGUCCUUUGUCUACUUUUAUUUUUCCUGAUCUUGCUACUUAUCUCUGUAUAUCUGGUGGUAAUUUGAUUCACUUGUAAACUUUUAUGCUUCAGAGGCCUGGAUCAUACUCUAUUGCUAUGUGGUGGUCUAUCGGUUGCUGCUGCAGGAAUUUCUAUACAAUAGUUUGAAUUUGAUUUUCCACUACAACUGUUCAUGAAAUACUCUUUCCUUAUAAACUUAUUACUAUUGUUUGACUACUAGAAUUAUUCCGAAUUUGUUAUUUAUAAGAUUCACUUCUAUUUAUUUGCCCCUUUUUCUUCAUAGCUAUUUAUUUGCCCCUUUUUCUUCCUAGCUAUUUCGUAGUAUUAUUUGCUAAUCAAAUUGGAAAGGGCGGAAAUAAAAUAUAAAAAUUUUAUGCUUUGCAAGUUGGAAGGUCCAUUGUUCUGCAGGCUACUGCUGCAGCCUAUUGGAGACUGGACAAGAUUUUUGGAUCGCUAAAUGCCUUUCCUCCUACUCAACUCUGUAUACCAUUUCUUUUCCUACUCUUCUGUUGGUUGAUUUGUUCAUUAAAUAUUGCACUUUAUUCUUUUAUUGACAGCUUUUGAAUUUAUAUGUUAAGGCCAUUUUCUCCAGAAGGUUGUGAUGAUUCUUGGACCCGGGUUUUGCUAUGAAAGGAAAGCGGCUAUUUUCUUGAUGACGAGGCAAUCUUGGAUUUGGCAUUCUUGGCUGUUUGUGGUACUCCGUUUAGUUUGGUUCUGGUGGUUAUGUUCUAUAUUGUUUCGAUGUGCUCUCUCUCCCUCUUUUCAAUUGUUAAUGUUCUGGCUUGUGAAAUGAUCUCUGACAUGCUAAAUUCAUGGGAAAUCCUAAACCAUUAAGCUUAAAAGGUUGCUAUUUAGGAUUUCUCCGGAGGCUUAUUUCGUUAAAUGCUAAGACUAGUUCUCUGGUUCUUCAUAUAAAGAGUUUGGAUUAUUUUAUUGCU